UACAGAGGUCUCAAGCGUUGUUCGGAUUCAUUGGGCGUAAAGGGUGUGUAGGUGGCGCGCUAAGUCGGGUGUGAAAAUUUCGGGAGCUUUAACUCCGAAACUGCAUUCGAUACUGGCGUGCUUGAGGACUGGAGAGGAGACUGGAAUUCAUGGUGUAGCAGUGAAAAUGCGUAGAUAUCUGGAGGAACACCGGUGGCGAAGGCGGCAUCCUGGACCGGUAUUGACGCUGAGGAGCGAAAGCCAGGG
rnacentral:rRNA from 1 species